UAAGUCGGAGGUGAAAUCCUGCAGCUCAACUGUAGAAUUGCCUUUGAUACUGGUUAUCUUGAGUUAUUAUGAAGUAGUUAGAAUAUGUAGUGUAGCGGUGAAAUGCAUAGAUAUUACAUAGAAUACCAAUUGCGAAGGCAGAUUACUAAUAAUAUACUGACACUGAUGGACGAAAGCGUGGGGAGCGAACAGGAUUAGAUACCCUGGUAGUCCACGCCGUAAACGAUGGUCACUAGCUGUUCGAACUUCGGUCUGAGUGGCUAAGCGAAAGUGAUAAGUGACCCACCUGGGGAGUACGUACGCAAGAAUGAAACUCAAAGGAAUUGACGGGGGCCCGCACAAGCGGUGGAGCAUGUGGUUAAUUCGAUGAUACGCGAGGAACCUUACC
rnacentral:rRNA from 1 species